UACAGAGGUCUCAAGCGUUGUUCGGAUUCAUUGGGCGUAAAGGGUGCGUAGGCGGCGCGGUAAGUCGGGUGUGAAAUCUUGGAGCUUAACUCCGAAACUGCAUUCGAUACUGGCGGGCUUGAGGAAGGUAGGGGUCGCGGGAACUGCCAGUGGAGCGGUGAAAUGCGUUGAUAUUGGCAGGAACGCCGGUGGUGAAGACGCGCGGCUGGACCUUUUCUGACGCUGAUGCACGAAAGCCAGGGGAGCAAACGGG
rnacentral:rRNA from 1 species